rnacentral:rRNA from 1 species
GAUGAACGCUGGCGGCGUGCCUAAUACAUGCAAGUCGAGCGAACAGAUGAGGAGCUUGCUCCUCUGACGUUAGCGGCGGACGGGACAUUAACUUGUGGUUAACCUACCUACAAGACUGGGAUAACUUCGGGAAACCAGAGCUAAUACCGGAUAAUAUAUUGAAUUGCAUGGUUCAAUAGUUAAAGACGGUUUUGCUGUCGCUUAUAGAUGAAUCCGCACAGCAUUAGCUAGUUGGUAAGGUAACGGCUUACCAAGGCAACGAUGCGAAGACGACCUGAAAGAGUGAUCGGCCACACUGGCAGUGAGGAACAUUCCCGACUCCUAGGGGAGGCCGCGGUAGGGACUCCUCCGCGAUGGGGGAGAGCCUAACAGAGCAACAUGGAGUAAAUGCUGAAGGAGUUAGGAUCGGAAAACUCUGAUAUUCGGGAAGUACAAAUGUGUAAGUACCUAUGCACGUAUUGACAGUACCUAAUCAAAAAGCUACGGCUAACUCCGUG